ACGAACCACACAAACGUUAUUCGGAAUUACUGGGCUUAAAGGGUGCGUAGGCUGCGCAGAAAGUUGGGUGUGAAAUGCCUCGGCUCAACCGAGGAACUGCGCCCAAAACUACUGUGCUUGAGGGAGAUAGAGGUGAGCGGAACUUAGGGUGGAGCGGUGAAAUGCGUUGAUAUCCUAAGGAACACCCGUGGCGAAAGCGGCUCACUGGAUCUCUUCUGACGCUGAGGCACGAAAGCUAGGGUAGCGAACGGGA
rnacentral:rRNA from 1 species